AACGCACAUUGCGCCCGCCAGUAUUCUGGCGGGCAUGCCUGUCUGAGCGUCAUUUCAACCCUCAUGCCCCUAGGGCGUGGUGUUGGGGAUCGGCCAAGGCCCGCAAGGGACGGCCGGCCCCUAAAUCUAGUGGCGGACCCGUCGUGGCCUCCCCUGCGAAGUAGUGAUAUUCCGCAUCGGACAGCGACGAGCCCCAGCCGUUAAACCCCCCAAACUUUACAAGGUUGACCUCAGAUCAGGUAGGAAUACCCGCUGAACUUAA
rnacentral:misc_RNA from 1 species